rnacentral:rRNA from 1 species
UACGAAGGGGGCUAGCGUUGUUCGGAAUUACUGGGCGUAAAGCGCACGUAGGCGGAUUUGUAAGUAGGGGGUGAAAUCCCCAGGCUCAACCUGGGAACUGCCUUCUAAACUGCAAGUCUGGAGAUCAGGAGAGGCGAGUGGAAUACCGAGUGUAGAGGUGAAAUUCGUAGAUAUUCGGUGGAACACCAGUGGCGAAGGCGACUCGCUGGACUGAUACUGACGCUGAGGUGCGAAAGCGUGGGGAGCAAACAGG